CUGGAAUAAAAAGUAGUGCUGGG
rnacentral:piRNA from 1 species